GCACAUGGGGCGCAAGCCUGAUGCAGCCAUGCCGCGUGUGUGAAGAAGGCCUUCGGGUUGUAAAGCACUUUCAGUCANGAGGAAAGGUUAGUNGUUAAUACCUGCUAGCUGUGACGUUACNGACAGAAGAAGCACCGGCUAACUCCGUGCCAGCAGCCGCGGUAAUACGGAGGGUGCGAGCGUUAAUCGGAAUUACUGGGCGUAAAGCGNACGCAGGCGGUUUGUUAAGCUAGAUGUGAAAGCCCCGNGCUCAACCUGGGAANNGCAUUUNGAACUGGCAAACUAGAGUGUKRUAGAGGGKRGUGGAAUUUCAGGUGUAGCGGUGAAAUGCGUAGAGAUCUGGAGGAANACCNAUGGCGAAGGCAGCUACCUGGGNCAACACUGACGCUCAUGUGCGAAAGCGUGGGGAGCGAACAGGAUUAGAUACCCUGGUAGUCCACACCCGUAAACGMUGUCUACUAGAAAGCUCGG
rnacentral:rRNA from 1 species